ensembl:snoRNA
GGGGUGUGCUCAGGAGAGGAGACCUGAUGAAUGGCUUCUCUGUUUACAACACACCCAACAGAAAUCUGGGUUUACUCAUCAUAGGAAGCAGAAUAUAUUGGCCUUCCUGUGACAUCAUGCCCUAUACAU